rnacentral:lncRNA from 9 species
CUCUGAUCUGUGUCAGGCUCUGGGACCCUAUGGGUCCCGAGUGCCUCUCUGGGUCUGGGGGUCGUAUCCCCUCCUCCCGCCACCUCUCCUUCCGUCUCUGGGUCUCUGUCAGUCUCCCUAGCUUCUUCUCUCUCCCUCUCUCUCCCUCUCUCUCUCUCUCUCUCUCUCUCUCUCUCUCCCCCCCCCACCCCCGCCUGCGCUGGCACGCGCACCCGCGCGCGCGUUUGUGUGUGUGUGUGUGUGUGUGUGUGUGUGUUGUGUGAGUGUGACAGAGCCAGAGAGCCAGAGAGAGACGUGGUGGGUGGGUGGGGGUGGCAUCUUGUGGGCAGGGGAACAGGCUCCGAGCCCGCCCGGCCGCCUGCCCAUCCUCAGCUCUCCCCGCCAGGAGCUCUCCGGUUUGACGACGAGGCCCCCCGCCCCGUGUCCUGGACUCCUGUGGGGAAGGGUGGCCUUGGAAAGGCCACCUGGCGGGCCUGAUGCCCUCCUGCUGCACGCUGGUCGCUCCGCGUGGGGUUGGCGCAAGGCUGCGAGUGAGCGAGCGGCCUGUGGAUUGCCGAGCGCAGACGGGCCUGCCGAGCGCCCCCCGUCCUGGCAUGGCAUGGGAGAGUGGCGAGACUUCCACCACCCUCCGGGUGCCAGAGGCCUCUGGUCCCCUGGGUCGGCAGCGGGGCCCUGCGGCGGCGGGCUGCGUGGGCAGAGGCGCCCGCAGAGGGGCAGGCCAAGCGCCAGGCGGCCCGGAGGCCCCGGAGGCCCGGAGGCCCGGAGGCCCGGAGGCCCGGAGGCGCGGCGGCGGGCUCUUGGGGCGGCGCGCCCAAAAAAAAAAAAAAAAAAAAGGACCAUCAGGAGAGAAAUCCAGAAGUCAAGGAGAGAAGAGAAGGUGAGUGGAAACAGAUGCCAGGUAC